GAUGAACGCUGGCGGCGUGCCUAAUACAUGCAAGUCGAGCGAACAGAUAAGGAGCUUGCUCCUUUGACGUUAGCGGCGGACGGGUGAGUAACACGUGGAUAACCUACCUAUAAGACUGGAAUAACUCCGGGAAACCGGGGCUAAUGCCGGAUAACAUGUUGAACCGCAUGGUUCUAUAGUGAAAGGCGGCUUUGCUGUCACUUAUAGAUGGACCCGCGCCGUAUUAGCUAGUUGGUGAGGUAACGGCUCACCAAGGCAACGAUACGUAGCCGACCUGAGAGGGUGAUCGGCCACACUGGAACUGAGACACGGUCCAGACUCCUACGGGAGGCAGCAGUAGGGAAUCUUCCGCAAUGGGCGAAAGCCUGACGGAGCAACGCCGCGUGAGUGAUGAAGGUCUUCGGAUCGUAAAACUCUGUUAUUAGGGAAGAACAAAUGCGUAAGUAACUGUGCGCGUCUUGACGGUACCUAAUCAGAAAGCCACGGCUAACUACGUG
rnacentral:rRNA from 1 species